UCUCCUCUUUGUCCUGCACAUCAAUGGUACUGACAGCUUCAAUGACAUCUGAAGUAGAGAGGAGGAGGCCAAAGCACAGGAACUGUUUUUGCAAAUAGUGCGUCACUGCAGCCAUCUUGCAAUCACGCGGUCCUGACAUGUCUGAUGGAGGAGAGGAAAAGGAAGGAAAGGACACCCUACUGAUGUCAGUCACAUCUAAGGUGAAAUGUGCACCAAGUUCACGAACCUGUCCUGCUUCUUAUAAAAUAUGCUCCGGGACCUCACAGCCUCACGGCCUGCCAGACCUGGCAGCUCCCAGCUACGCUGCAGAUGUCACAAAGCAAGGAAGGGCUGCCUCUCAGACAAAAUGCAGUAAAGAUACAUUUUCAACUAGA